rnacentral:rRNA from 1 species
AUUGAACGCUGGCGGCAUGCCUUACACAUGCAAGUCGAACGGCAGCACGGGUGCUUGCACCUGGUGGCGAGUGGCGAACGGGUGAGUAAUACAUCGGAACGUACCUUAUCGUGGGGGAUAACGCAGCGAAAGUUGCGCUAAUACCGCAUACGCCCUGAGGGGGAAAGCGGGGGACCGUAAGGCCUCGCGCGAUUAGAGCGGCCGAUGUCGGAUUAGCUUGUUGGUGGGGUAAAAGCGCACCAAGGCGAUGAUCAGUAGCUGGUCUGAGAGGAGGAUCAGCCACACUGGGACGGAGACACGGCCCAGACUCCUACGGGAGGGAGCAGUGGGGAAUUUUGGACAAUGGGGGCAACCCUGAUCCAGCAAUGCCGCGUGAGUGAAGAAGGCCUUCGGGUUGUAAAGCUCUUUUGUCAGGGAAGAAACAGCAGCUCUAACACAGUCUGCGAAUGACGGUACCUGAAGAAUAAGCACCGGCUAACUACGUGCCAGCCGCCGCAGUAA